AAGAAAGUAACUGCCGCCCCGCACAGGGGCGACGCUAAUAGACCGAUACGAAACCGCGGAUGCCAGCGCACC
rnacentral:sRNA from 1 species